AGUCAUCACUCCCAAUCAUCAUCUAACCCUCCAUUUUUCCCAUUAUCACCCAAAAUUGGAAGGAAUUUGAGGGUAAUUGAAGGGUUUUUCAAGGGAGUGCGCCAGAGGUGGGGUGGUGGCAAUCCACCAUUUAUGAAGCAAAUCCCAUCAACCACCACCACCAUUAGACCCCCCUUGAAACCAGGAACAAAGCCCAGGCAGUGAUGGAGGCAUUGGAACAAGUUUGGAGGUCGAAUCGAACACACCAAAAAUCUAGGGUUCCGGCGGGUUUGAGCAAAAUUGGAGCUUUUCCCGGCCAAAUUGGCCUUGGCUGCAGGUGCCGAUCGUUUGUGACGCCUUGAUGUUCGUGCUAGGAAGUUGUAGCGCGGACUCCAGGUGAGUGGAUCUUUCCUUGCUCAUCUUAUGUUUCAUGAUUGAUAAUUCUAUAAAUGCUUUUAAAUAAAACUGAGAAACUUAUGCCAUGACAUAUAUGUAUUUAUAUGUUAUAAAAUACUAUGAGAUGGUUGAGUUAGAUUUCAUCGUGAUAUAUCCAGAUGUGUAUUACUAUAAAUGAUUAAUACGAACUACGAAUGUCUUGAUCCCUGUUUAGGGUACGUAGGCAGUCUAACAAGACGUUAGGUGCAGCCAUAUAAUAAAUGAGAAUGAAUAAUCGAGACAAUAGUCUAGUUUGGGAAAUUGAGUAGUUUGAGGGACAUUGGUGGAAAGAGUAUAAGAGUUAACCCUAUGUUUUAGUUUUUUAAAUGUUGAUUAUAAAUCAUUGCGUGAAUAAUCAAGAAAAUAAAUAGUUUGGGAAUGGGGCACUACAGUUUAGACAUUCUAGACCAAUUGUUUAUAUGUUUAUAUGUCUGGAAAUAUUAUGAAAUGUUUUAAGAUUAGAUUUCAUCAUGGCAUAUCCAUACGUAUAUUCCUUGCACAUAAUUAUUGUGAAUGCUCUGAAGUGCAAAGGUAAAUGCAGGACACACAGGUAAGUUCAGGUAAGUUUAGGUAAGUUCAAGUAAGUAUACGGUAUUAGUUAAACUGAUAAGAUAUGUGAUGAGAUAUGAAUAUGUCGUAUAGGUCACUAGAGGUGACUCCGACUUGUAUGCUAGCCAUGAUUGCUAAGAUAUGUAAUGAGAUAUGAAUAUGUCGUAUAGGUCACUAGAGGUGACUUCGACUAUGUGAUGAGAUAUGAAUAUGUCGUAUAGGUCACUAGAGGUGACUUCGACUUAUAUGCUAGCCAUGAUUGCUGAGAUAUGUGAUGAGAUAUGAAUAUGUCGUAUAGGUCACUAGAGGUGACUCUGACUUAUAUGCUAGCCUAUAUGUGAUGGAAUGCUAGCAUAUAUAAUGAAUAUACAUGAUGAUCUAGCAUAUGUGGUGAAUACGUGAUAAGCUAGCAGACAUGAUGAAUAUGCGAUACGUUAGCAUAUGAUUAUAAAUAUGUGAAGCAUGACUUGAAUUUAUAUAUGUGUGUGUGUGUGUGUGUGUGUGUGUGUGUGUGUGUGUAUAGAUAUAUGUAUAUUUUUGUAUUUUAAUUCUAGAAAUUAUACAGGGAUUGUAGCGAGGGGUUAUAGAAAUUUAUAUGGUUUCUAUUAAAAUUUUAUCUACUGGGUCACUCACCUUUGUCUUGUCUUCACCCUCUAGGUCUUCUUAGCUGUGUUUUCUUAUCGUCGAAGGUUCGUGGCGAUCCUUGGUACUGGAAAUUAUUUCCAGGGUAUGAUUCCCAAUUCACUCUUCUGUACUUACUUAUGCUCUAACAUCACGUGUGCAAUGGGUUAUUCCCGCUCACUAGUGCACUCUAGUAUUUAGGCACUCUUAGGUUUAAAUUUAUUCACAAUUUUUCCACAUCAUCAUACUUUAUGGCUUCGUCACAUUCCAGGUGUCGGCCAACACGGCUCGAUUCGGAGUCUUAGUGGAUAUUCCGGGUCAGGGUGUG
rnacentral:lncRNA from 1 species